rnacentral:rRNA from 1 species
GAUGAACGCUGGCGGCGUGCCUAAUACAUGCAAGUCGAGCGAACGGACGAGAAGCUUGCCUCUCUGAUGUUAGCGGCGGACGGGUGAGUAAUACGUGGAUAACCUACCUAUAAUACUGGGAUAACUUCGGGACACCGGAGCUAAUACCGGAUGAUAUUUUGAACCGCAUGGUUCAAAAGUGAAAGACGGUCUUUCUGUUACUUAUAGAUGGACCCGUGCUGCAUUAGCUAGUUGGUAAGGUAACGGCUUACCAAGCCAACGAUGCAUAGCCGACCGGAGAGGCGGAUCGGCCACACGGGAACUGAGACACGGUCCAGACUCCUACGGGAGGCAGCAGUAGGGAAUCUUCCGCAAAGGUCGAAAGCCUGACGGAGCAACGCCGCGUGAGUGAUGAAGGUCUUCGGAUCGUAAAACUCUGUUAUUAGGGAAGAACAUAUGUGUAAGUAACUGUGCACAUCUUGACGGUACCUAAUCAGAAAGCCACGGCUAACUACGUG